rnacentral:rRNA from 1 species
GAUGAACGCUGGCGGCAUGCCUUACACAUGCAAGUCGAACGGCAGCACGGGAGCAAUCCUGGUGGCGAGUGGCGAACGGGUGAGUAAUAUAUCGGAACGUGCCCAGUCGUGGGGAUAACGUAGCGAAAGCUACGCUAAUACCGCAUACGAUCUAUGGAUGAAAGCGGGGGGAUCGCAAGACCUCGCGCGAUUGGAGCGGCCGAUAUCAGAUUAGGUAGUUGGUGAGGUAAAGGCUCACCAAGCCGACGAUCUGUAGCUGGUCUGAGAGGACGACCAGCCACACUGGGACUGAGACACGGCCCAGACUCCUACGGGAGGCAGCAGUGGGGAAUUUUGGACAAUGGGCGCAAGCCUGAUCCAGCAAUGCCGCGUGCAGGAUGAAGGCCUU